UUGUCCCUUCGGACACAUCCGAUAAAAUUGGAACGAUACAGAGAAGAUUAGCAUGGCCCCUACGCAAGGAUAACUCAGGAAAAUUUCAAUCUUUGAUUACUUGA